CAAACAAGUUUCCGUGAUAUCAGACGAAUAUGUACAACUACAAAGACAUGUUGACGGAUGAGAACAUAAUUGGAAUGGCGGACAUGGCCUGCAUGGUGAAGUUUCCCAACGGCUAGGAUAGCUAUCAGGCGAGGGUGCUGACGGGCUGCUUCCGUGCUGCUGCGUGGCUGUCAUUGAAUGUUCCAUACAUGAGGUUCGGACAUACUUGACCCAAGUGCAGCUGGGAAUGCUGGAGCUACACAAGCAAUCCUGGUCAUGUGCUGUUCUUGCACUAAUGGGUAUGCUCUUUACCUAUGAGGAGAUGGCAGACAGCAUAGUUUCAGCAUUUAGAUUAAAGGAGGAGAAUAAGGGAAGCAGUUGCUUGACCAAGACAAGGUGGAUGCCAUCAUUGAAUAUGCUAUGGGAAGAUUGCUAGGAGUGACCUCCGCAGAAAAAAGAGGAAGAUGGGCCAAAAACUGAAGGACACCAGGGUA